AUUGAACGCUGGCGGCAGGCCUAACACAUGCAAGUCGAACGAGUGGCGGACGGGUGAGUAAUGUCUGGGAAACUUCCUGAUGGAGGGGGAUAACUACUGGAAACGGUAGCUAAUACCGCAUAACAUCAGAUGUGCCCAGAUGGGAUUCGCUUGUUGGUGGGGUAACGGCUCACCAAGGCGACGAUCCCGAGCUGGUCUUAGAGGAUGACCAGCAAAAAUGGAACGGAGACAGGGUCCAGAGUCCUACGGGAGGCAGCGGUGGGGAAUAUUGCACAAUGGUCGCAAGCCUGAUGCAGCCAUGACGCGUGUAUGAAGAAGGCCUUCGGGUUGUAAAGUACUUUCAGCGGGGAGGCGUUACCCGCAGAAGAAGCACCGGCUAACUCCGUGCCAGCAGCCGCGGUAAUAC
rnacentral:rRNA from 1 species